ensembl:rRNA 5S_rRNA 5S ribosomal RNA
GUGUACAGCUAUACCUCCCUGAACAUAGCACCCAACCUUGUCUGAUCUGGGAAGUUAAGCAGGGCUGGAUGAGAGAAUAAGCUAGUGAGUUCAGUUGUAAGUGGGUACGUGUACAGA